rnacentral:rRNA from 1 species
UGGGGAAUUUUGGACAAUGGGGGCAACCCUGAUCCAGCCAUGCCGCGUGCGGGAAGAAGGCCUUCGGGUUGUAAACCGCUUUUGUCCGGAAAGAAAAGGCAUUCCCUAAUACGGAGUGCUCUUGACGGUACCGGAAGAAUAAGCACCGGCUAACUACGUGCCAGCAGCCGCGGUAAUACGUAGGGUGCGAGCGUUAAUCGGAAUUACUGGGCGUAAAGCGUGCGCAGGCGGUUCGUGAUGUCUGAUGUGAAAGCCCCGGGCUUAACCUGGGAAUUGCAUUGGAAACUAGCGGGCUGGAGUGUGGCAGAGGGGGGUGGAAUUCCACGUGUAGCAGUGAAAUGCGUAGAGAUGUGGAGGAACACCGAUGGCGAAGGCAGCCCCCUGGGCUAACACUGACGCUCAUGCACGAAAGCGUGGGGAGCAAACAGGAUUAGAUACCCUGGUAGUCCACGCCCUAAACGAUGGCAACUGGGUGUUGGGGAAGCGAUUUCUCAGUACCGUAGCUAACGCGUGAAGUUGCCCGCCUGGGGAGUACGGCCGCAAGGUUAA